rnacentral:lncRNA from 1 species
GCAAAGGUCCAAGGCGUGGUGACAUUUGGAACAGGAAGGCUGCAGGACAUCUUCGACAGGCUGCUGCUCCAACUUCAGAAGGAGUUCUGAAGUACUUUCAAAUCAGAUAGAGAUCUAAUUUUUGGAGCAUAGAUUUGUAAUGAGAAGAUGUUCUUGGUCCUUCCUAAGUAGAUAUCAGUAGAGGUCAGGCACUUGCGUGGCUACAUCAGAACUUUGGGCUGUGCUGAGAUCAUCUACAGGG